rnacentral:rRNA from 1 species
UACGGGGGGAGCAAGCGUUGUUCGGAUUUACUGGGCGUAAAGGGCGCGUAGGCGGCCACCGCAAGUCGAUUGUGAAAUCUCCGGGCUUAACCCGGAAAGGUCAACCGAUACUGCCGGGCUAGAGUCCGGAAGAGGCGAGUGGAACUCCUGGUGUAGCGGUGGAAUGCGCAGAUAUCAGGAAGAACACCAACGGCGAAGGCAGCUCGCUAGGACGGUACUGACGCUGAGACGCGAAAGCGUGGGGAGCGAACAGG